rnacentral:rRNA from 1 species
UACGGAGGGGGCAAGCGUUGUUCGGAAUUACUGGGCGUAAAGGGCGCGUAGGCGGUCUGUUGCGUCGAACGUGAAAUCCCCGGGCUCAACCCGGGAACUGCGUCCGAUACUGGCAGGCUUGAAUCCGGGAGAGGGAUGCGGAAUUCCAGGUGUAGCGGUGAAAUGCGUAGAUAUCUGGAGGAACACCGGUGGCGAAGGCGGCAUCCUGGACCGGUAUUGACGCUGAGGCGCGAAAGCCAGGGGAGCAAACGGG